GUCCACGCCCUAAACGAUGCAUAUUUGGUGUGGGUCAUUCAGUUGAUCCGUGCCGGAGCUAACGCGUUAAAUAUGCCGCCUGGGGAGUACAGUCGCAAGGCUGAAACUCAAAGGAAUUGACGGGGGCCCCGCACAAGCGGUGGAGCAUGUGGUUCAAUUCGACGCAACGCGAAGAACCUUACCUGGGCUCGAACGGCCGGUUAACGGCGUUGGAAACAGCGCUAUCCCGCAAGGGAGUCCGGUCGAUGUGCUGCAUGGCUGUCGU
rnacentral:rRNA from 1 species